rnacentral:lncRNA from 10 species
AGUAAUAAUAGUCCUACCCUCAUGGGGUUGUUGUGAGGAUUAAACAAGAAUUAAUUAAAUGAAUAAAAGUGCUUAGAACUAUGCCUGGCACAUAGUUAAGUGCUUAAUGAUUUUCAUCUAUUAUUGUUUAUUUAGAAUAAGAGUGCCCUGGAAGCAUGAGGAAGGAAGCAAUUAAUUUGGCCCAGGAGAGCUGCAAAAAGUUCCAUAGAAACCAUGAUACUGGAGCAGAGUUUUGAUCAAUGAGUACUUUCCCAGAACUUGGGUUGGAAGGAGGGCAAUCUAAGAAGAAAAAGGCUGAUGCAAAGGCUCAGAGGCAUGGUUUGCAUAUCCAUCAUAGUUCAUGACUGACAAUCUAGAGGUUGGAGCUAACAUUGAAAAACAUAUUGAUUAUUAUGGGACCAAGUGUUUCCCAAAU